AUGUCCGAGGAUUCGACCCCUUGGGUGUCACAGCAAACGCGUUAAGUAUCCCGCCUGGGAAGUACGGCCGCAAGGCUAAAACUCAAAGGAAUAGACGGGGAUCCGCACAAGCGGUGGAGCGUCUGGUUUAAUUUGACAGUAAGCAAGGGACCUCACCUGGGCUUGACAUCCUACGACAACUCAAGAAAUUGAGCUUCCUUCGGGCGUAGUGACAGGUGUUGCAUGGUCGUCGUCAGUUCGUGCCGUGAGGUGUUUCGUUAAGUCGGGAAACGAACGAAACCCUCGUCGCAUGUUAUAUUUUUCAUGCGAGACUGCCCGGGUCAACCGGGAGGAAGGCGAGGAUGACGUCAGAUCUGCAUGGCCCUUAUGUCCAGGGCUACACAGGCGCUACAAUGGCAGGUACAAAGGGUUGCAAAAUCGCAAGAUGAAGCUAAUCCCACAAAGCCUGUCCAAGUUCGGAUUGAAGGCUGCAACUCGCCUUUAUGAAGUUGGAAUCGCUAGUAAUCGUGAAUCAGCCAUGUCACGGUGAAUAUGUUCCCGGAUCUUGUACUCACCGCCCGUCACACCAAGAGAGUUGGUAGCUCCUGAAGCGUCGCAAUAAAGCGGCGCCACGGAGAGAUCAGCGAUAGGGGUGAAGUCGUAACAAGGUAGCCGUAGA
rnacentral:rRNA from 1 species